rnacentral:lncRNA from 1 species
UUACUUGCAUGUUUACGACCUUCACUAAAAAGGGGGGAAAAACCUGGACCCUUUCCAAGCUUGACCAUGCGUUACCCAACCUUUCUUAACAUAUAAUUAAUGCAGGAAAUAGAGUAGUAGUUCCAUUUUGAAACAAUUGCAAGCAGAGAGACUUAAGUAUGAUCAUUGGCAGGCGUUUGAUCAGAUUCAGAUGCUCGCUGGCCAUUAUCCCAUGACUGCCUUGGAAUGCUAUGGUGAUUAUUU